rnacentral:rRNA from 1 species
GACGUGCGCAGGCGGUAUUGUAAGACAGAUGUGAAAUACCCCGGGCUCAACCUGGGAACUGCAUUUGUGACUGCAUGGCUAGAGUACGGUAGAGGGGGGAUGGAAUUCCGCGUGUAGCAGUGAAAUGCGUAGAUAUGCGGAGGAACACCGAUGGCGAAGGCAAUCCCCUGGACCUGUACUGACGCUCAUGCACGAAAGCGUGUGGAGCAAACAGGAUUAGAUACCCGUGU